UCGAGCGGUAAGGCCCUUCGGGGUACACGAGCGGCGAACGGGUGAGUAACACGUGGGUGAUCUGCCUCGCACUCUGGGAUAAGCCUGGGAAACUGGGUCUAAUACCGGAUAUGACCUUACAUCGCAUGGUGUUUGGUGGAAAGAUUUAUCGGUGCGAGAUGGGCCCGCGGCCUAUCAGCUUGUUGGUGGGGUAAUGGCCUACCAAGGCGACGACGGGUAGCCGGCCUGAGAGGGCGACCGGCCACACUGGGACUGAGACACGGCCCAGACUCCUACGGGAGGCAGCAGUGGGGAAUAUUGCACAAUGGGCGAAAGCCUGAUGCAGCGACGCCGCGUGAGGGAUGACGGCCUUCGGGUUGUAAACCUCUUUCGACAGGGACGAAGCGCAAGUGACGGUACCUGUAGAAGAAGCACCGGCCAACUACGUGCCAGCAGCCGCGGUAAUACGUAGGGUGCGAGCGUUGUCCGGAAUUACUGGGCGUAAAGAGCUUGUAGGCGGCUUGUCGCGUCGAUCGUGAAAACUUGGGGCUCAACCCCAAGCUUGCGGUCGAUACGGGCAGGCUUGAGUACUUCAGGGGAGACUGGAAUUCCUGGUGUAGCGGUGAAAUGCGCAGAUAUCAGGAGGAACACCGGUGGCGAAGGCGGGUCUCUGGGAAGUAACUGACGCUGAGAAGCGAAAGCGUGGGUAGCGAACAGGAUUAGAUACCCUGGUAGUCCACGCCGUAAACGGUGGGUACUAGGUGUGGGUUUCCUUCCACGGGAUCCGUGCCGUAGCUAACGCAUUAAGUACCCCGCCUGGGGAGUACGGCCGCAAGGCUAAAACUCAAAGGAAUUGACGGGGGCCCGCACAAGCGGCGGAGCAUGUGGAUUAAUUCGAUGCAACGCGAAGAACCUUACCUGGGUUUGACAUACACCGGAAACCUGCAGAGAUGUAGGCCCCCUUGUGGUCGGUGUACAGGUGGUGCAUGGCUGUCGUCAGCUCGUGUCGUGAGAUGUUGGGUUAAGUCCCGCAACGAGCGCAACCCUUAUCUUAUGUUGCCAGCGCGUAAUGGCGGGGACUCGUGAGAGACUGCCGGGGUCAACUCGGAGGAAGGUGGGGACGACGUCAAGUCAUCAUGCCCCUUAUGUCCAGGGCUUCACACAUGCUACAAUGGCCGGUACAGAGGGCUGCGAUACCGUGAGGUGGAGCGAAUCCCUUAAAGCCGGUCUCAGUUCGGAUCGGGGUCUGCAACUCGACCCCGUGAAGUUGGAGUCGCUAGUAAUCGCAGAUCAGCAACGCUGCGGUGAAUACGUUCCCGGGCCUUGUACACACCGCCCGUCACGUCAUGAAAGUCGGUAACACCCGAAGCCGGUGGCCUAACCCCUUGUGGG
rnacentral:rRNA from 1 species